AUUUGGGAAAGCUAACCGUCUAUUUGCCUGUAUAAAAUUCCAAGGCCCACAAACCAUAGCGCUGCGAAUAGGAAGACAGGUUGUCUGACCGAAAAUGAAAUGUAGAAGAGAACAUCAGUGCAUCCCUGUGGAGACUCAACCAACUCCUAUAGGUCCCUGUGAGCAAAAGAUCCAAUCGACCUGGCAAACAACAUUCCAAGAAGCUUGCGUUGAAAGCUGUUCCACAGUGGAGUGGAGGACAGCGUGAGUGUUCACGAGGAAGCACGGAGAUCCGAAGCGCGUUCAGCGCGGUGUCCUGGCACACGGCUGCAGGCCUGGUGCGGACGGGGAACCGCAGCGGGACCCCACAGUUUGGGGAAACGGCGAAAGAGACGUCAAGCCUUCGUGUUGCUGCGGCUGAGAGGGACCGUGAGGAAAAGCAGAAAGGCGUGAGCUGAAAGCCCGUGGCUGCACAGCACCUGAGCUCACCCCAGCAUGUGUGCGAGCCAACCCAGCUCAACCUCUGGUAAGACUCAUUAAAGCUGAAUGCCAGGACCAGCCAGCAAGGGAGAUGGAGCGGUGUCCUUAACAAGAUGGCGUACAACUGCGACGGAAAGAAGAACUGUAAAUACUUUUUUUUUUUUUUUUUCCUGGAGAAAUGUCUCCUCAUAUGGUUAUAACAGAGUGAAGCAUUAGUCAUUUUCAUUAUGUUGCCAGCCAACUACAGUCAUUAAACAUCUGUUUUCCAGAAA